rnacentral:rRNA from 1 species
GAUGAACGCUGGCGGCGUGCCUAAUACAUGCAAGUCGAGCGAACGGACGUGAAGCUUGCUUUUCUGAUGUUAGCGGCGGACGGGUGAGUAACACGUGGAUAACCUACCUAUAAGACUGGGAUAACUUCGGGAAACCGGAGCUAAUACCGGAUAAUAUUUUGAACCGCAUGGUUCAAAAGUGAAAGACGGUCUUGCUGUCACUUAUAGAUGGAUCCGCGCUGCAUUAGCUAGUUGGUAAGGUAACGGCUUACCAAGGCAACGAUGCAUAGCCGACCUGAGAGGGUGAUCGGCCACACUGGAACUGAGACACGGUCCAGACUCCUACGGGAGGCAGCAGUAGGGAAUCUUCCGCAAUGGGCGAAAGCCUGACGGAGCAACGCCGCGUGAGUGAUGAAGGUCUUCGGAUCGUAAAACUCUGUUAUUAGGGAAGAACAUAUGUGUAAGUAACUGUGCACAUCUUGACGGUACCUAAUCAGAAAGCCACGGCUAACUACGUG